AUCAGAGCCAUAUCAUCUGGUUUCCCACUGAAGCUAAGCAGGAUUGAGCCUGGCCAAUACCUGAAUGGGAGACCUCCUGGGGGAAGCUAAGGUUGCUGCUGGAU
rnacentral:rRNA from 1 species